rnacentral:tRNA from 1 species
AGGCUGCGGUGAUGGAGGAGGACUUCAAAGCGGACGCGGGGGAGGAU